rnacentral:rRNA from 1 species
AGCGAACGCUGGCGGCAGGCCUAACACAUGCAAGUCGAACGAACCUUUCGGGGUUAGUGGCGGACGGGUGAGUAACACGUGGGAACGUGCCUUUAGGUUCGGAAUAACUCAGGGAAACUUGUGCUAAUACCGAAUGUGCCCUUCGGGGGAAAGAUUAAUCGCCUUAAAAGCGGCCCGCGUCUGAUUAGCUAGUUGGUUGAGGUAAUGGCUCACCAAGGCGACGAUCAGUAGCUGGUCUGAGAGGAUGAUCAGCCACAUUGGGACUGAGACACGGCCCAAACUCCUACGGGAGGCAGCGGUGGGGAAUCUUGCGCCAUGCGCGCAAGCCUGACGCACCCAUUCCGCGUGAAUGAUGAAGGUCUUAGGAUUGUAAAAUUCUUUCGCCGGCGACGAUAAUGACGGUACCCGGAGAAGAAGCCCCGGCUAACUUCGUG